rnacentral:lncRNA from 1 species
GUUUUCACUCUUGGUCCACCGCGAUGACGAAAAACAGCUCUUGUGAGGAAGAUCCAACAUCUCUGAGCAGCGUCCUCCUACACCCACCUUCCGCCAUUGAUUCGCCGUCAAUUCGGCACAGAUUUGGCAGCGAUUGGCCAUAUUGUGAGGAAGGAACUGAGAGCGAAGGCUCCCCCGUUCACCCCGCCGCCUCCACCGACUCUCCGUCGAUUCNGUUAUUGUUUAUUGUUAUUAUUAUUAUUAUCCUUAUUAUAUUAUUAUCUUAUUAUUGUUAUUAUUAUUGUUAUUAUUAUUAUUAUUAUUAUUAUUAUUAUUAUUAUUAUUAUUAUUAUUAUUAUUAUUAUUAUUAUUAUUAUUAUUAUUAUUAUUAUUAUUAUUAUUAUUAGUUAUUAUUUGUUAUUAUUGUUAUUGUUAUUAUUAUUAUUAUUAUUAUUAUUAUUAUUAUUAUUAUUAUUAUUAUUAUUAUUAUUAUUAUUAUUAUUAUUAUUAUUAUUAUUAUUAUUAUUAUUAUUAUUAUUAUUAUUAUUAUUAUUAUUAUUAUUAUUAUUAUUAUUAUUAUUAUUAUUAUUAUUAUUAUUAUUAUUAUUAUUAUUAUUAUUAUUAUUAUUAUUAUUAUUAUUAUUAUUAUUAUUAUUAUUAUUAUUAUUAUUAUUAUUAUUAUUAUUAUUAUUGUUAUUGUUAUUAUUAUUAUUAUCCUUAUUAUAUUAUUAUCCUUAUUAUUGUUGUUAUUAUUAUUAUUAUUAUUAUUAUUAUUAUUAUUGUUAUUGUUAUUAUUAUUGUUAUUAUUAUUAUUAUUAUUAUUAUUAUUAUUAUUAUUAUUAUUAUUAUUAUUAUUAUUAUUAUUAUCAAAUAGCUAAUGAAAGAUUAGUAAAAGUAAUCACAAUACAUAAACACUACCCUUUUAGUCUUUUACACGACCUUUAAUUAACCUUAAUCCAUCCCUUAUUAUUUGCCAAAGUAGAAACGAGCCAUUAUGGGUGGACCAAAAGAAAUACGUGCCAUGAAUAGCAGGACGGAGGGAGUACUAUAUUUAUAUCUAAAUGACACUAAUUUUCUUAGUAAAUGUGACCUUUAAUAUAUUAAAAUUAUACUUUUAGAUGUGGUUGAGAAUAGCCUUGGCAAAAUAAAAUAAAACAAUAAUUAAAAACUUAAAAGAACAAAAAAAGCUGGAAAAUCACAGCAAAAUUUUGCAAAAAAAAAAUCGAAAAGAACAAAAAAAGAGCGUUGAAAACUAGAAAAUAAAAUUAAAAAUAAUAAUAAUUAAAAACUUAAAAGAACAAAAAAAGCUGGAAAAUCACAGCAAAAUUUCGCACAAAAAAAAAUAAAAAAAAUCGAAAAGAACAAAAAAAAGAACGCUGAAAACUGGAAAAAAAAUUUACCAGUGGGUUUCGAACCAAUAACCCACCCAUUUAUAAUGAAGCGCUUAACAAACUGAACUAGGUAGUUAUUUGCCAUAAACUCUAUUCCGAUUUUAUUUAUACUAUAAAUGCGUUAAUUCUAAUAUUUUUUAAAAAUACAUAAGUUGGAUUCGAAUCUGGGUCGGGUAACCCCAAGAUCCGUGCUCACAUUUUGUUCAGCGCGCACGUAAGUAUGCCUCAACUAACAAAAUGAAACAAGUUGAAAUAUAUUAAGAGUUAAAAUGGACGAAAUAGACCUACUGUAUAAAUUACAUAAUAUGCCUCCAUAUACAUACGAAUUACAUAAAUAUAUCAAUUUAGAUUUACAUAAAAUUAAUUUUAUCUGCUUUUAUUUUACAUCACUACAUUAAUUAUAAAUUUAUCUUUGAUUUUAUAUUAACCAUUAAAAGAAUGAUUUUUCAAUUUUUUUUAUAUUAAUUUGUACUUCAUCCGUCCCAUUAAUAAUACUCUCUUCGUCCCAUUAAAACUGGCCACGUUUUUUUUUUUGGUUUGUCCCACUAUUUCUGUCUACUUUCUAAAAUAAGUUAAAAUUGCACUUUAUUAGAGUCACUAAUUAACUCAUUAAUUAAACACUAAUUAUAACCUAUUUAACUCUACUUUUUUUCAUUAUUCAAUCUAACCCUAGCAGCAACUUCUCGUAUAUAUCUCUAUCUCUCUCUCUCAUUGCUCGACCCCUCUGCUCCUCUAGGGUUUUCACCGUUGAAUCGUCAUUCAAGCUCGGGUUUUCACUCUUGGUCCACCGCGAUGACGAAAAACAGCUCUUGUGAGGAAGAUCCAACAUCUCUGAGCAGCGUCCUCCUACACCCACCUUCCGUCGUUGAUUCGCCGUCAAUUCGGCACAGAUUUGGCAGCGAUUGGCCAUAUUGUGAGGAAGGAACUGAGAGCGAAGGCUCCCCCGUUCACCCCGCCGCCUCCACCGACUCUCCGUCGAUUCGGCGGAGAUUGGUGUUCAAUCCGCCAUUUCUUGAGAAAAACUCUCAGAUCCAAGGCUUCCCCGUCGGAUGUGAACCUGUCGCAACCUCCAAUAACUCCCCGGCCUCUCCAGAAUCUCCGUCUGAAUCCACUGAGAACGAUGGGGAUCUCUCUGGGCUUAUUGCGGCCGACACACUGUCGUCGUGGUCCCUUGGAGUGUACGGCGCAAAUGCACUAGACGAUACGGACUUCGGUGGGUGGACGCCCGUCCCGAAAACGGAGGAGCAGCCUGUGAUGAAGAAGGAACUUACAAGAUUCCAAAUAUUGAAGCAUAUGUUUCCUUAUUCGGUGAGAAGUUUCCUUUUGGGAUUGUUCUCUGAUUUUUUAUGUGCUUACAGUGGGGAUUGAAGCAUGCAUGCAUUGUUGGUUGUUGGUAUAAAACGUG